rnacentral:ncRNA from 2 species
GAUUUAUAAAGACGAGGGGAGAGAAUAGGCUCUUUGAACCUCGGGCAACCUGUCAAAACUUUUGUAUAAGGUGCCAAUACCUACCCCCUGUGCCAUAACGGCCUUUGGGACUUAUAAACC